GACGAACCGUGCAAACGUUGUUCGGAAUCACUGGGCUUAAAGGGCGCGUAGGCGGGUGAGCAAGUCCGGGGUGAAAUCUUUCGGCUUAACCGGAAAAGUGCCUUGGAUACUGCUCGUCUGGAGGAAGGUAGGGGCAGGUGGAACUUCUGGUGGAGCGGUGAAAUGCGUUGAUAUCAGAAGGAACGCCGGUGGCGAAAGCGACCUGCUGGACCUGUUCUGACGCUGAGGCGCGAAAGCUAGGGGAGCGAACAGG
rnacentral:rRNA from 1 species